UACGUAGGCAGCGAGCGUUGUUCGGAAUUACUGGGCGUAAAGAGUGUGUAGGCGGUGCUCUAAGUUCGGUGUGAAAUCUCCUCGCUCAACGGGGAGAGGCCAUUGGAAACGGUCGAGCUGGAGGGCAGUAGAGGUAGGCGGAAUUCCGGGUGGAGUGGUGAAAUGCGUAGAGAUCCGGAGGAACACCAGAGGCGAAGGCGGCCUACUGGGCUGCACCUGACGCUGAGCCGCGAAAGCCAGGGGAGCGAACGGG
rnacentral:rRNA from 1 species